UCAGGACUUCCACUCCUUAUUCCAAAGAGGCUGAGUUAUGCAACCCCCUCUUGCAAAUGAAUAGCUGUCACUAGCAUUAUGCGUUAGCCAGACCCGCAUGGAAAGACUCUUCUAACAAGCAGUCUCAGCCAGUCACAGGAGCCAAACUUCAGUCAACCACAGGCAGUCAAAUGUUCAAACCAGGUCAAAUAAGCCUUCUGGGGCUGAUUUGGUCGCAGGCAGCAGAGCAGUUGAAGAAGCAAAUUAGUAAAUGGUAGCAGAACAGAAUCUGUUCCAAGCACACAU